ACGGGAGGCAGCAGUAGGGAAUAUUGGACAAUGGGCGAAAGCCUGAUCCAGCCAUGCCGCGUGAGUGAAGAAGGCCUUAGGGUUGUAAAGCUCUUUUGGCGGGGAAGAUAAUGACGGUACCCGCAGAAUAAGCUCCGGCUAACUUCGUGCCAGCAGCCGCGGUAAUACGAAGGGGGCUAGCGUUGUUCGGAAUCACUGGGCGUAAAGCGCACGCAGGCGGAUUGAUAAGUCGGGGGUGAAAUCCCGGGGCUCAACCUCGGAAUUGCCUUCGAUACUGUCUGUCUUGAGUCCGGGAGAGGUGAGUGGAAUUCCUAGUGUAGAGGUGAAAUUCGUAGAUAUUAGGAAGAACACCAGUGGCGAAGGCGGCUCACUGGCCCGGUACUGACGCUCAUGUGCGAAAGCGUGGGGAGCAAACAGGAUUAGAUACCCUGGUA
rnacentral:rRNA from 1 species